rnacentral:rRNA from 1 species
GACAGAGGGCGCGAGCGUUACCCGGAUUUACUGGGCGUAAAGGGCGUGUAGGCGGCUUGGGGCGUCCCAUGUGAAAGGCCACGGCUCAACCGUGGAGGAGCGUGGGAUACGCUCAGGCUAGACGGUGGGAGAGGGUGGUGGAAUUCCCGGAGUAGCGGUGAAAUGCGCAGAUACCGGGAGGAACGCCGAUGGCGAAGGCAGCCACCUGGUCCACAGGUGACGAUGAGGCGCGAAAGCGUGGGGAGCAAACCGG